rnacentral:misc_RNA from 1 species
CUGAAAAGAGUUUCCUUCGGUUCGAGCAAAGGAUCGAUGGUGGAAACUUUGGUAUACGAGACACCUGUUCAGGAAGAACCGGAGAUCAAUCGUUUUAUGGACCACAACGGACGCAUACCCUCUAUAAUCGCAUCUGUACCUGAUACCGACGAAGGUAGGGAAAUGGUACGCGUGUCGUUGCUAGGUCCACAACCUUCACCGACAACGCCCGGCGUAUUUCAGGUGCAGCCUAUCGCGAUAUCGAGGACUCAACCGAUCGACAUGGACACCGUUCCGGCCGAACUCCUGACCACGCACACCGAACACACAGCUCCCGCCUAUCACACGCAAAUCAGCACCGACAGUGGAUGGGAUAAUCCAUUCAGACCCGACGGCGACCUGUCCAGGGAAGCCGACGAGAUAGUGGAAUUGAUAAAAGGCGGAAAACCUAUCACUCCGACCCCUGGACAAACUGCUCCCCCGUUGCCAGGAUGCGACAACGUGACCAGCAACGUGCAGACCACCGUCGACCACGACUCCAGUUCCAGCCCCUUGCUGAAAUCCUCCGCGAACUCGACGAAUCGGCUCGCGAACUCGUCGCCGAAGCCCGGCCAGGAAAACGGAAACGCCCAUGGCACUCCGAUGAAAGCUGCGACUGCGAACAGCCAGCAGCCUGUCAACGAUAAGGUUGUCACAUCGUCGAGAGCAGCUACCGUCGAAGUGGCUAGAAUGACAGCGCAGGGACCAGGCGACGCUUCGCAGGUCGAACACGUCACCUUGAAGAAGAAGCCUAAAUGUAAAUGUUGUCUUCUGCAGUAAUGGAAAGGAAGCAAGCCAUCGCGUGGAUGUCUCAGCAGACGGAUGAUCGUCCGUUGUUGAAGAUGCAUCGUGACAUGGUCGCCGAUGAAUUGUCGGUUCACGUUUCUCGAAAUGGUCGCUAUACGAGUGCCGUGGAAAACAUUGUAAUUCCCUUUGUUACACCCUACUCCAAAAACGAGUUUCGCGGAGAGGUGGAGGAACGCAGCUACGAAGAGGAAAUGUGCGAUCGCGUGAACGCCGCGUCGUAUUCUAUUUUCCGAAACGGGUUCGAGAAUUUUCCUACGGCGGGGAUACGAGUUGGUCGCGUUGAUCAUCGUCGAAAGCAAGCUGCUGCUAGAUGGAGUGGAGAUGUCCUGAAAAAAUGCGAGCGAUGGCUAUCGAUACGAAUGAAAAGAGAAUCCCGAUACUGGUCGAAGCGACGAUGAUAUCGAGCGAAUUGAUACGACGCGACACUGGAAGAUACCUGACCGAGCGUAAAAGCACCGAGCCUCUUGAUAGCCUUUCAGAAAGACAGUGGAGUGUCUAUAAAGUAACAGACUAUAUAAAAGGAGAGAAUAAAAAAAAAUAUAUAUAUAUAUAUACACAUAAAACUAUAUUGUAGAUACAGAAAUGGUAGUUGUAUAGCUUAUAUGCUUUUACUAUUGUGGUUAAUUACUGUCAAAAUUAUCGUGAUUUCGAGAAUGUGUUCGCGCAUUAUCGCGCGCGAAAAUGGCAAGACGCGAGCGUGAAAGAAAAAAAGUCGCAGUUGCACAGAAUGUUUAAAACUUACCGAGUUUACAGAACGCUAUUACUUCGUUGGACAUCGAUAUAAUAUCAUAGAUUCAUAGACUCUCGUUUUUACUAAAACUCAAAACCUCUAUAGGCAGAACUUUUACGAAAUUUUUUAACAUCGCGUAGAAUGUGUGCGCUAUCGAAGGGCUGUACCGAUGGUCGUGAAAGAGACGCGCAACUCGAUGAAAAGAGAAACGUCAAGCCAGCCGUAUUUUUUUCUCGCGUCUAAGCAUGAGAACGCGUAGAAUUUUUUCUCUUCGCGGAGAAGAUAUCAUCUAUCGAACUGCUUUACUUUCACACACAAACACACACACACACACACACAGAUCUUUUCUAUUCCGUUGCUGUUCUUUUCUACACCUCGCAUCAAAGAAACGCAAACCUAUCGAAAGAGAAACCUGUAAUUAAACGAGCUGGCGCUCGAUAGUCCAAACGCGUGAGUAACUAUUCAGGAUCGUCAAACAUGAAAUGUGUAAAUAUCGCGAUAUUUUUUGAAACAAAAUGUGUGAUUGUCGGCGAUCCGAAGAGUGCGAGAACGCGUUACGUUCCAUUCGAGUUGGUGCGGACGAACGGAUUCGACGACGGCUUGCUCUCCGCACUCGAACUCUGGUUUCUCGAUUGCUGCAGCGGCACAAAUUAAUUACGCAUCGAGAGAACUAUGAUGAACUCGUAAGUGGCAAGGCUCACGAAUAAUCGUUUAGCGAUUCCUUUCUCGAGACACAUUUUCGAUUCGAUGACCGUGUGCACGUCUUACGAAUUAUUUAUUUCCUUUUACCCCGUAUAUUUUUAUUUCGACGUGUCCAUUCGCCGCUUCAUCCCUUUUUAAUUCUAUGUAACGUUGUAUACGUGUAUUUCAAAGCAAAUCUUUUUAAAGGUGUAUAGAUUUAAAAAAGACACGCGAUUAAAGGGAUACGAGUAAAUGACGCGUUUACGAGACGAACAUUGUAGAAACGCUUCGGUGUUCGUUGGCAAGAAAACCGUUGAUCGGUUCUAUGCGUACUAAUUAUAUAAGAAAGGAAGAAAGCAGGAAAAAAGAAAGGAGUUAAAUCGUGUAUCUUCACUGCACCAGAAGAACUGCUGCUCGCGAUUGUCGAGCCGUUACGUCUAAGGAACAGAUGACACAAGGAUCCGCCCUGUAUCGAGCGGUGCUUGGUUCGCAUUAAUGGUUAUCGCCGGGGCAAAAGAUAUUUAUGAAAAAUCUGCGAUAUUUGGGUGAAGGAUGAUGGAGUAAGAGAACGGAAGAAGGAACGACAACGGCACAAGAAGAACAAUAAGGUUUCCUUUAUUUUCAUUCAUCGUACGCUGUUGCAAUGUAUGUACGGUACAGAGUGUAAUAUAAAGUUGUAAGUAAUAGAAGAAGAUCCUGAAUAAUUUACUCGCGUCCUCGCAAAUUGCAAUCGCAAGACGACGUACCAGCAAGCGAACCUGAACGGAAGAAGUACUAAAUACUAUGUGUAUAUCUUUGAAAAAAGAAAAAAGAAAAAAAAAA